UAAGAUGGGGGAAGGGGGUUGAGGGGCUGCUUAGGGAGGCUGCCGGGGCUGAGGAAGAUUUGAGAAGGGGCCCUUCCUUAGCACGUGGGGAGCUGUAUGUUCCCAGCCCCCAAGGCAAAGCUCCCACAAGCUGCUCAAUCUAACAGAGGGGCUCCCACGGGCUGUGAUUUUUGGUCUACAGGGAGCUGGCAUUCGCCUGGGGGAAUGUCAUGCCCUUUCCCACCCUGGAGCCCAGCUCUGGGGCCUCAUCAAGUCGAGCAGUGCGGCAGCUGGGACUGGGCUGGAUUCGGAGGUUUGGAGCUCCUUGGUCGUUAGCACGUGGACAGUGGCUGAACCAUGGAAUACAUGACGACAUCCUGCAGAGUGAGGCCAAGGAGGGAAGAGGCCCAGAGCAGCACCUGGAGGGGGGUGGAGAGUCAGAAGAAAGUUCUUCCAUCUCUCCCAGAACCCCCUCACCAUCUUCAAUGACCAGGCUGAGGCCAACGCAAGCGAGGCAGCCCAUCCCCAUCCUUGUUCUGCUCCACUUCUCAGCCAGCUCUGUUUGCAGCAAGCGCCUGGAAGGUGGGACGGGAGGC